ACUCUAGACAACGGAUGUCUUGGCUCCUCACACGAUGAAGAACGUUGCAUAAUGUGAUAAGUAACUGGAGUUGCGAACAUUGUGACAAGUUAAUCUUUGAAUGCACAUUGCACUUUUCUUUGUCUCUCGGGAUAAAGUAAGUAUGUAUAUUAUAGUACAUAAAAAACAAAAAUUAAAUUAUUUAUAAGUCUUCUUUUUUCUUUUGAAUAAAAAUAAAAAAGAAAGUAUUUUUUUAAAAAAUAAUUAUAAAAAACAAAAAAAAUUUCAUGUCUAUAAUAUACAGGAAAACCCGCUGAACUGAAGCAUCUCAUUAAGCGGAGGAAAAGAAACUAACUAGGAUUCCCUCAGUAAAGGCGAUCGAAGAGGGAUCAGCUCGAUGUCUUAAUCCGGUCUUCACAGAUUGGAGAUGUAGACUGCGUGUCUUUGCCGAAGUAACUAAAACAAUCGAAUUAUUGUUUGCGAAUCAGAGUGAAAGCCUCGUUUCACGCUUUGGCAAGUGUAUGGCCCGCAGGAGAGAGUCGGAUACCUUGGGAGUGGUGUCUUAAUCAGGUGGUAUGCCCCAUCUAAGGCUAAAUAUUGUGAGGAGACCGAUAGUUUACAAGUAGUGUGAACGAAAGAUGAAAAGGACUCCAAGAAGGAUUUCUGUGAAAAGCGCCUGAACUUGCUUAGGNUAAGGCUAAUCUCUUUAGCGCCCGUCUUGAAACACGGAUUAGGGAGUUUAUCUGUAGUGCGAGUCUUUGCUCGUUAACAGUAAAGGCGAAAAGAAAAUAACUGGCAUUUAUGCAUGGCUAUUGAGCAUUACUGAUAGAACCCGAAUGGUGGUGAACUUUGCCUGCACAAGACGAAGUCAGGGGAAACUCUGAUGGAGGUCUGUAGAGGUAUUGAUGUGCAAAUCAUUUUUCAGAUGUGGGUAUAGGUGCGAAAGACUCAUCGAACCUCCUAAUAGCUGGUUUCCUCCGAAGUUUCCCUAAGGAUAGCCGUAAUUGCAAAUAAGUUAAGGGGAGUAGAGAUAUGGGUAGAGGUAUUAGGGAGGCUUCGGUCUCUCAACUUAUUUCCAAACUUCGAACCUUCUUGAACUAGUGACUUACCUAAUCGGAAGUCCACUAAGUGAAUUAGCGUUACGCGUGGGCUCGAACCGGUAAGCGGUUCUGGCGAAAUGGGAUGAACCAUACGCUAGAAUAAGGUGCCUAAGUAUACUAUCAUUGAUACCAUUAAGAGAGUCCUUGUAUUUAGACAGCAGGUCGGUGCCCCUAAAAGCAGGCGAUCCGUUAACGAGUGUGUUAAAACUCCCCUGCCGAAUACUCGGGCCUCGAAAAUGAAUGGCGCAUAUAGUAUCACCGAUACCUAGCAUUAGCUUUAUUUUCAUAAGCUAAGAGUAGGGGGAUGUGGACAUUUUAGCGAAGGCUUUAUGUGAAUAAAGCUGGAAGAGUGUCUAUUACAGAUCCUAAUUGAAGUAGCGAUUAUCCAGGCUAGUAUCCUGGGGGCUGAUGAGGAGUAGGGUUUCUGGGCAACUUAAAAAGACCCAGAGUUAGUCGAUCCUAAUCUCAAUAAAAUUCACAUUUUUGAGAGAAAGGGAGUACAGUUGAUAUUCUGUAACUGACAAAGAGUUCGCGGCAACGCCUGCUAUUUUUCUCCGCCAAUUCAGUACCGUUUGGUAGGGAUCUCUUUCCUACAUGACAGUAUAAUUUUUCAAAUGCCCAGGGAAUCUGAUCAACAGGCGAACUGCGGUAUUUUACUGGCAAAAUGACGCUCCGGUGUCAUCAUUGGCUACUGGAUUUGGUCCUUGAAGUGAAAAAUAGUUUGCUCUGUCACUCGUACCGAUAACCGCAUCAGGUCUUCUAGGUGAGUAGCCUAUGGCCAUUGAGGUAUGAUAGUUCAGGGAAUUCGGCCAAUUAGAGCUGUAACUUCGGGAUAAAGCUUGGCUCUGAUGAAAAUCAGAACCGAUUGUUACGCGGAGAGCCCAACUGUUUAAUAAAAACGUAGUGUCGCGCUGUGCUCAUAUAAGCAGUGAACGCGACAUGAAUCCUGCUCAGUGCUGUGUUAGUUAAAGUGGUUUACGCCAACGAAGCACCGGUAAAUAGCUGGGGUAACUAUGACUCUUAUCAAAGUAGCGAAAUACCUCGUCACUUAAUUAGUGACCUGCAUGAACGGAGCUAUGAGGUUCUCACUGUCCCAAACUAUCUCUCAGCGAACCAACAGUUGUGGGAACGGGCACAAAAUAUCCAGCGGGGAAAGAAGACCCUGUAGAGCUUCACUUUGGUCUGGUCUUGUAUGGUUUCGGUGGGGGUGUAGUCUAGGUGGGAGAGCAAUCGAAUAUGAAAAACCACUACCCUAUCAGGAAUUAUGCUUACCUUAAUCGGAAUAGGAUCAGAUAGAAAGUUUGGCUGGGGCGGCACACCUUCGAAAAUGCAGCGAAGGUGUCCUAAGUUGAGCUCAGUGAGGACAGAAAUCUCACGUUGAGGAUAAGGCCAAAAGCUCAAUUUACUGUGUCUUUUUGUACUAGAAUCAGUUUGGAAACAAAGGCCUAACGAUCCCUAAUUAGUGUCAAGGCGUGACACUUGGGGUGACAGACAAGUUACCUCCGGGACAACUGGCUUGUGGCUGCUAAGAGAUCAAAUCAACGCAGCUUUUUGAUUCUUCGAUGUCGGCUCUUCCUAUCCUAGUGAUGCAUAAGUCACUAAGGGUUGGAUUGUUCACCCGUAUUAGGGAUCGUGAGCUGGGUUUAGACCGUCGUGAGCCAGGUUUGUUUUAUCCUACUGGAUAUUCCAUCAUGAUAGUAGUUUGAUUUAGUACGAGAGGAACUGUUGAAUAUAGCCUCUGGUUUAGGAAUUUUGGGAAACCAAAGGUUCCGCAGCUACGCUAUCUGGGAUAAUGGCUGAAGGCCUCUUAAGCCAGAAACUCAUCUAAAAAUUGAUGGUUCUGUCCAAUUUCCUGAUUAGAAUAGCUUUGCUUGG
rnacentral:rRNA from 1 species